AAAACACAGUACUCAACCUGCGGAUUAAAAACACUUUCUGAAGGAAGAAAGAAUACAUUUAGGCGCUAGUUUCACUGGAAAAAUUCAGGAAAUCAUUAAGUGUAGGCACUGGGUGCUGAGAUGUCAGAUGAAAUAGAUGGGAAUGGAACAGGAGCUGGUGAGAUGUCAGAUGAAAUAGAUGGGAAUGGAACAGGAGCUGGUGAGAUGUCAGAUGAAAUAGAUGGGAAUGGAACAGGAGCUGGUGAGACGUCAGAUGAAAUAGACGGGGAUGGAACAGGAGCUGGUGAGAUGGCAGAUGAAAUAGACAGGAAUAGAACAGGAGCUGGUGAGACAUCAGAUGAAAUAGAUGGGGAUGGAACAGGAGCUGGUGAGACAUCAGAUGAAAUAGACGGGAAUGGAACAGGAGCUGGUGACACAUCAGAUGAAAUAGAUGAAAUAGACAGGAAUAGAACAGGAGCUGGUGAGAUGUCAGAUGAAAUAGGAAUGGAACAGGAGCUGGUGAGAGGUCAGAUGAAAUAGACGAGGAUGGAACAGGAGCUGGUGAGAUGUCAGAUGAAAUAGACGGGAAUAGACAGGGAUGGAACAGGAGCUGGUGAGAUGUCAGAUGAAAUAGAUGGGAAUGGAACAGGAGCUGGUGAGAUGUCAGAUGAAAUAGGAAUGGAACAGGAGCUGGUGAGAGGUCAGAUGAAAUAGACGAGGAUGGAACAGGAGCUGGUGAGAUGUCAGAUGAAAUAGACGGGAAUAGACAGGGAUGGAACAGGAGCUGGUGAGAUGUCAGAUGAAAUAGAUGGGAAUGGAACAGGAGCUGGUGAGAUGUCAGAUGAAAUAGAUGGGAAUGGAACAGGAGCUGGCGAGAUGUCAGAUGAAAUAGAUGAAAUAGAUGGGAAUGGAACAGGAGCUGGUGAGACGUCAGAUGAAAUAGAUGAAAUAGCUGGGGAUGGAACAGGAGCUGGUGAGAUGUCAGAUGAAAUAGAUGAAAUAGAUGAAAUAGCUGGGGAUGGAACAGGAGCUGGUGAGAUGUCAGAUGAAAUAGAUGGGAAUGGAACAGGAGCUGGUGAGAUGUCAGAUGAAAUAGAUGAAAUAGCUGGGGAUGGAACAGGAGCUGGUGAGAUGUCAGAUGAAAUAGAUGAAAUAGAUGAAAUAGCUGGGGAUGGAACAGGAGCUGGUGAGACAUCAGAUGAAAUAGACAAGGAUGGAACAGGAGCUGGUGAGACGUCAGAUGAAAUAGUUGAAAUAGAUGGGGAUGGAACAGGAGCUGGUGAGGAGUCAGAUGAAUAGACGGGAAUGGAACAGGAGCUGGUGAGACGUUAGAUGAAAUAGAUGAAAUAGAUGAAAUAGCUGGGGAUGGAACAGGAGCUGGUGAGAUGUUAGAUGAAAUAGAUGAAAUAGCUGGGGAUGGAACAGGAGCUGGUGAGACAUCAGAUGAAAUAGACGGGGAUGGAACAGGAGCUGGUGAGACAUCAGAUGAAAUAGACGGGGAUGGAACAGGAGCUGGUGAGACAUCAGAUGAAAUAGACGGGAAUGGAACAGGAGCUGGUGAGAUGUCAGAUGAAAUAGACGGGGAUGGAACAGGAGCUGGUGAGAAGUCAGAUGACAUAGACGGGGAUGGAACAGGAGCUGGUGAGACAUCAGAUGAAAUAGACGGGAAUGGAGCAGGAGCUGGUGAGAAGUCAGAUGAAAUAGAUGAAAUAGACAGGGAUGGAACAGGAGCUGGUGAGAAAUCAGAUGAAAUAGACAAGGAUGGAACAGGAGCUGGUGAGACAUCAGAUGAAAUAGACGGGAAUGGAACAGGAGCUGGUGAGACGUCAGAUGAAAUAGACAGGAAUGGAACAGGAGGUGGUGAGGAGUCAGAUGAAAUAGAUGAAAUAGAUGCGGAUGGAACAGGAGCUGGUGAGAGGAAAUAUAUGGGAAUGGAACAGGAGCUGGUGGGACAUCAGAUGAAACAGACGGGAAUGGAACAGGAGCUGGUGGAUGGGCAUGAAUUAGCUGAGGGCAGGUGUGAGGAGGUGAUCUCAGGAGAGACCCAGCGGCAGCUUUCAAGGCACUGGGAGCUGAAGGAACAGCACCCACAAGCACAGAGCCGGACCAGGAGGCCGAGACACAGGCGGCGGCAGCCCCACGCCCCACACCCCAUGCCCCAGGGAGGAGGAAGGCAGAGAUGAGGAGAGAGAAAGCAGACAUGGAGGACGGAAGCCAGAAACCUGCUGGGCGAAGGAGCAAUUUUCCAGAUAAAGAAACUCGAACAACCGGAACGGUGCAGCCAUAGAGUAUGUAAGAGAAGGAACUUCUAGAAUGAAGACAGAUCUGAAUCUAUUUAAUCAAACGGCUCACGGGGACAAGCAAAAUUAAUGAAAAUGAAUCUGGUGGAAAUCUUCCACUUCAAGCAUAAAACACCAGACAAGCACAGAGAGAAACUGAGUAGCCCAGCAGCAUCCUGUGCCAGGAGACCACGGAGACCACAGGGCGACAGCUGGAGCUUCAUGGCUGCAAACCCACCAAUGCCAGGAGACCAUGGGGCGACAGCUGGAGCUUCAUGGCUGCAAACCCACCAACGCCAGGAGACCAUGGGGUGAUGUCUGGAGUCUCACAGCUGCAAACCCAGACUUCUGUGCUUGGCCGGGUCACUAUAGGGAGACCCGCUGCACCAGUCCAGGCAACAGAAAAAACAUUCUCAGCUACAUAGAGGCCAGAAAUUGCACCAAGAACAUUUCCUUCCCGAAAAAGCAACUCAAAAUUAAUUAUUUGAGGCAAACAAGAGGUGACUCCAAACAAAGACCCAUAAACAGGGAAGGGCAGGCAGGCAGUGGUGGCCGGGGACAUGGAGAUGGCUUGAGCUAGAAUUGAGUCCACGUGGAUUUUGUGAAUAAAAUCUAAGAAUUGCAAAAUAACAAUCACUAAAACUUAAAACCACCUUAUCAGGGAUGACGGCUCUUUGGGGGUCUUGUAGUGAGGCCAAGAUAGACUUCAGGAUCGAGGUUCUACCAGUGAUUUAAAAUUAGGAUGUUGAAAUUUGGCAGAAUGACUUAAGUUUUAGAAAAAAAGGAAAUUGGGUCAUUCUCUUUCCAAAGGAAAACUGUCCCGUGAUGGAAUGCGUAGUCAUUUGUGUCUGCAACAGUAAGCGUCUGUAACCCUUGGGAACUUCACAUUCUCAGCCUCACUUCAUCCCAGAGAAAGUCAUGGGAAAUGCCAGUCACUCUGGAAUGUUCCCAAGUGUGCAGAAACUGAGAGGCCUCCCACCAGGCUCACCUGGCCUCCUUCCCCAGCUGCUUCUCUCCCAUCUCACUGCUCUACUGAGCACUAGGGGCUUCCAGACCUCCCUCCAGCCUCUGAGCUGCUGUGAGUCCCACUGAGGCAGGGCAGGGGCAGGGGCAGCCUCGUGGCUGUCCUGGGUGUCAUGAAAGGCGGUUUGGUGAAGCUGUUGGUAACAAAAUCCAAAUGCCAGGAUGGAAGAGCGAUAUGGUGUCGCCAGAUGGCAAGGCAGACCCUAGGCCAGCUGGCCCCGGCCCACCCGUCACUGUGAGCACUGGCAUAGUCACCCUGAACGUGAAAGGAGGCAAUUCCCUGCCCGGCUCUGGAGUCGGGCUGCCCAGACAGCUGGGCUGGCUCUGCCGUUGGGCUGGGCCUCAGUUUCCUCACUGCAGAGAGGGUGACAACACACUGGCCCACAUGUGAGGGAGUGGGACAUGUGAGCCGGCAGAGGGGAGGUUCGCUCAUGAAUGCUUACUUACCAAGGCCUCCUCCAUUCCAGGCACCUGCCCAAACAUGGCCCUUGCACGCCUCCCGGGACCCCACAUCUACACCCAGUGACGGUCCCAUCCUUAUGCUCCAGAUGAGGAAACUGAGGCACAGUGCUGGAACCCAAAGCCUUCUAGUUUGGGCUCCACAAAAGGCCUUUUGAUUGAAUUAUGCUUGAAAAGGCAGGUUUCUCCGGCAAGAACGAGUGGGAACCACACCCAGUCUGAGGCUUCGUGCCUCACCGCUGCCCCUGGUCCUGCAGCUGCCUGGUGCCACCACCCAGGGCCACGGCUCCUCCAGGGCCCACUCCUUCCUCUGUUCAGGAGAUUGCUCUCUUCACGUUAGUGCAUGAAUCCCAUCCUGGGUCAUGGAGCCAGCAUGGCUGGAGCUCAGAGCCCAAACGCAGCUGAAGACAAGAUGGCUCAGGCGGGAGCCCCGCAGAGCUCAUCCCCGUCCAUCCAGGCUACAGUGGGGGUUGGGUGGGGACAUUUCUAGGGGGUGGGUCCGAGAGAAGCAUGAGGACCUAACCCCACGACCCCCAGAAACCAAACUGGCUCUCUUGGUACAGCGCUAGUCUGUGGAGUGGGCCCAUUCCCAUGGUGUAAACACCCCCACUGAUGCUGGCUUCCAGCUGCUGACGUGCUGUCACUGAAUGUGGAGCCGGGAAGCAUUGUUCCCUUUUGGCUUUUGAGACAUGCCAGGCCCAGUGGACCACUUCAGGCUGCAACACAUGCAGGGCAGGGUGUGGGCCAGGGCAUGGCCUGAGUCCUCAGUGCCAGGGCAUCGGAACACCUGGGAGUCCCUUGAGGAUAAAAAAGGAGACCCAAGCCAAUGAAAUGGACACACAGCCCCUGCAAACUGAAGGUCCGUCUUCAUGAACUUGAUGAUCAUCUGUGGUGUUGGGUGAUUUUUGUUUGUUUGAGACAGUCUCACUCUGUCACUGGGGUUGGAGUGCAGUGGCACGAUCUCGGCUCACUACAACCUCUACCUCCUGGUUCAAGUGAUUCUCCUGCCUCAGCCUCCCAAGUAGCUCGGAUUACAGGUGCAUGCCACCAUACCAACUAAUUUUUUAUAGUUUUCGGUAGAGAUGGGGUUUCACCAUGUUGGCCAGGCUGGUCUCAAACUCCUGACCUCAAUUGAUCCACCCGCCUCAGCCUCCCAAAAUGCUGGGAUUACAGGUGUGAGCCACUGCACCUAGCCUGGGUAAUCUAUUUCAAUUUAACAAACCAGCCCAACACUGCAUGGCUUUAAACAGUAAUAGCCGUUUCUUUAACUCACGCAUGUGCAGUUUGGGCAGGGCUCAGCAGGGCUGGCUCAUCUCCUCUCCGUGGAGGCCUGGGGCUGGGAGCCCUGCAGGCUCAGCUCGGAUUCAUGGGGAUGGACAUUCAAGCUGCAGGAUUCACCAGGAACCUUACCCUUAUCAGUGAAGACUGAGUUCACCUCUGAAAAGAGGGAGCCACAUGGCUGGAGUUUGACCACCAGACAUUCCUGGGCAGAACUUUGGGUCUGGAGCAAGUGACCCAGAAGCAGGGACAGUCUGGGCUGUACCAGCAGCUGCCUCACAGCCAGGCUGCCCUCUUGGCCUCCCUGGACCUGCCUAUGCCCAGCCCUCAUUCUCCAGCCUUCUGUCUGGUUUCCAGAGCCCCAAGAGCCCUCUGAGAAAGUUAUUUAGCAUAGGUUUCCAUUCAUUGCAACCAAGAUCCUGAGUGCUUGUAUGAUACAGCAGAUAUGGUUAAAUUAAAAAAAAAAAAAAGAAAGGAAAAAGCAGAGAGAGGUGUUUGUGCAACAGGACUAUGCUGCAGAAAAGUUGCAUGGAGAAGCUCUGGCAGAGUGGGCAGGCAGGGGCUGCUGGGAGGGGCCUCCGGCUCUAUGGCUGAGCAGACCAUAAGGAACCUGGUUUUCCCAGGGCUGGCCGGCAGGCCGUUCUCAGCUCCUCUGCCUCCACUCAGGGGAGGGUGGGCAGACGAGUGGGCAGGUGGGGAACCAUGGCUCCACUGGCUCCUUGGGGCAGCCCCUGUUGGGCCCUGUCCUUACCCUCAGAGAACACGCUGCCUGCACCACCCCAUGAAGGGGGGUCCACGAGGGUUAGGGCUACAAUGCACUUGGUGACAUCAGGACCAUGGCAAGGUGUGGAGGGGGUGGACUCUGAUCUGGAUGCCACUGAGCUCAUCCCAUGGCCCCAGCCUCAGGGAGGGGCUGGAGAGCGUCCAUUGGGGCAUGGUGUGGACCUGGACGGUAGCCUGGGCACUGGAAUCCUGGCCCUUCCCAGACCUGCUGAGCCAGCGCCAGCAUCCUAACCCCAGGGACCCCAGGGACGCCUGUGCGCAGUCGCUCAGAGAAGCCCCAGGACGCCUGUUCGCAGUCACUCGGAGAAGCCCCAGGAUGCCUGUGCGCAGUCACUUGGAGAAGUCCCAGGACGCUUGCGCGCAGUCACUCGGAGAAGCCCCAGGACCCCUGUGCACAGUCACUCGGAGAAGCCCCAAGCUGACUCAACUCUGUUGAAACGACUGUUGUAAGCAGAUCUUGGAGGUCGCCCGUGGUCUCUGCCUCCAGUGUUACUCCCAAGACGGCUGUGUUGUGUGGCAGAGGGAUUCUGAAGGCAUGGUGAAGUUCACCAACCCGCUGACCUUAAAACAGGGAGGUGCCUCCGGGCCUGACCUCAUCACACCAACACUUUAGAAGCGGAGUUUCCUCUGGCGGGUGCAGAAGGGAUGGCCAGAAAGAGCCACUCAUGGGGGGACUCCACCGGCCCCUGCUGCUUGAAGAUGGAGGGGCCACCAGAGGCCACCAGGCAGGGACCCGAGAGAAAGCCCUAGGAGCUGAGGGCAGUCCCUGACAACAGCUGCGAGAAAACGGGGACCUCAGUCCCACACCCACAAGGACCUGGAUUCUGAACCAGCCUGGGAGGAGGCCUGAGCCCCAGGUGAGGCCCCAGCAGGGGACCCAGGCCGGCUCCUGACCUGCAGGUGUGAGCUACAAGAUGGUGCAGGCUUGUCCAUUUAUUUACUUAUUUGUAUGGUAGUAAAACACACAUAACAUAACAUUGCCCACCUGAACUAUUUUAAAGAGUCCAAUUCAGCCACAUUCCGUGCACUCACACUGUUGUGCAGACACUGCCUCAAGCAAGCUCCAGAACUCGUUCAUCUUCCCAAACGGAGACCCAUCAGCAGCCGGUCCCUUCCCUCUGCCCUCAGGCCCUGGAAGCCACGAAUCCACUUCAUCUCCUGGGUUUCUCUACUCUAGACACUUUACAUCAGUGCAAGCUUUUUAUAUAAACGCAGUCACUUAGCACCAUGUUUCUGAGGCUCACCCACGCCAUAAUGUGUAAGGGAGCUUCACCCUUUUUCUGGCUGCACAAUACUCCGUCGUGCGUGCGCCGUGGCCUGUUGAUCUGUUCCUCGGUCCACGGACACUUGGGUUGUUUCCACCUUCUAGCUACUGUGAAUAACGCUGCUGUGAACACUCAUGUCCGAGUUUUUGCUCAGACACCCGUCUUCAUUUCUGGCUGUGCAUCCCCAGGUGUGGAACUGCAGGGUGCUAUGGCAAUUGUUUAGCUUUGCGAGGAAUCACCAGACCAUUUCCCACAGCAGCUGCACCAUUUCACACUCCCAAAAGGAAUGUGUGCCGAGCGGGUGCUGUUUCAAGCUGCUAAGUUUCUGGAAACCCGAGUGAAGGCUGAGUGCCCCAUGAGGGACCCGGGCUCUGACACAGACAGACUGUCCCGGCUGGAGUCCAGCUCCUGGACGACCUGGGUCUCCCCGUUCUGCACUGGUAUCGCGCGGUGAGGCGGCGCUGAUCAGAACCUCAAAAGACCUGACCCCGAACACCGUCAUCCCAAAUCCUGAGCUCCUGAAAGAUCAAAACCUAACAUGUUGGUGUUCUGACCAGUUUCUCUGUGAAUGGUUCAUCUGCACAUAACUCAUAUCCACGUGACUGAAUGAGCACACCUGUGUGUCUGUGCUGGAGAAAAUGUUAUGAUCACCGACUUUAUUGGGAUGUCAGCAUUCAGAACUGUGUCCCAGGAUCGUGGCCCAGACCCACAGGGCAGGGGCGUGCACUUUUGAGGGUUCUGAAGACGACUCAACAGGGUGCCUGACCUGCUGGUAAGGACUCAGGAGACCUCACCUGUCCUCGUCACACUCAUGGAAGGGGACUCCAGAUCCCUGGCGUAGCUGGUCUGGGAACUGGGGAGGGAUGGGCAGUGCCCGGUAUAGGGUGCAACCUCCAGUGCCCACAUUAGCACGUCUGUUGCUGUGAGAUUCUAUCCUGUGGACACCUGUGGCUGUAACACACACCUUCCCACUGCUGUCACAGGAGUGAUACUCUUUCCGAUUCUAACAUCAGUGUGUGCACAUUUUGGGAAAACCAGCAAGUACAGAAGAAGAAUUUAGGCCGGGCCCAGUGGCUCACGCCUGGAAUCCCAGCACUUCGGGAAGUCAAGGCAGGAGGAUCGCUGGAGGCCAGGAGUUUGAGAUCAGCCCGGGCAACAUAGUGAGACCUCAUCUCUAUUUAAGAAAGAAAAAGACCACUGGUCCUCCCAGUGUUUACAAGAUUUUUCCAUUAAAACAGGAGGGAUCAUAAUGAGCGGCCUAACAAAGACAUUUAAAGACACGCCAAGAAGGGGCGCAGACAGGAGUCCUGAGAUGCAGUCAUGGGAACCCGCACCUGUUUUCCCGCCCUGGGCACCCAGCGUGGACAGGCUGGCCGGUGCCAGGGUGAGCAGGGCAGGCUGAGGUCUCCAGUGGGUGGGGACAGGUUAGGGGGCAGCAAUUCAGUGACCCUGUCCAGGACUGGGUCCCUUGCAGAAGGUGAGGUCAGCCAGGGGUGGGGGUGGUGGCUGUGGAAUCCGUUGUCUGGUCUAUAGGGGGUCCCCCUACCGAAGCCCUAACCCUCUCCCCUUCACCACCCCAGUGAUCUCCUGGCCCAGGCUGCUGCCUCCAGCAGCUCCCCAGCCCCCAGGACAGUCCUUCAGGACUCUAGGGGGAGUCCCGUCUACAAGGACGGCUCACCAGUCUCCCGCCACAGCCAGUGAGGAUGGGGUCCUGCAGCCGAAGUGGUGUGUGCCCAGUGUGGUGUCCCUGGCAGGCUGGGAGGGUGCCCCCAGCUGCCAGUUAGUGAGGCUGGGUUAGCACGAGGGCAAGGAGCUUGGAUUCUGGGGCUGACAGCCUGAGCUCAACUCCAGCGCCCCAUCUUGCUGGGGCUCCUCCGCCUGGAGGCGGCUCCUCCACCUGCCUCUGCCUCCGUUUCUGCAGCAGUUGCCUGCCGGACUCCAGCCCGAGGCGGGGGCCACGGCUGACCCAGCUGGAGAACGCCCCACUGGCCCAGUCAGUGCUGUCCUCUGCACCUGAUGGCUUCUCUUGGCAGGGAGGGCUCCCCCGCCCCCGGGCUCUGUGCCAGCCAGAGGUUCCGCAGGAGCUGCUCACUUCCUCCCGCCGGCAGAGGCAGCCUGCGGGGCGGCUCCAACCUGGAGAAACCAAAAUCAGGGCAAGUCCCUGGCUGCUUCCCUGGAAAGCCCCGACGGAGUCCCCGCUCCUUCCCGCCGGUUCUCAGGGUGCUUUAUUUCAGAAGGGGAUUUCUUCCUCCUGAGAAUCUGAUGGCCACAGGGUGCCUGUCACAUGUCCACAUCGGGCCCUCCUGGCUGUCACCAACUUGUCCAACUGUCAGAGGUGUUUGAACCAGAGCGACUCCGUCUUGAAUAGGGGCUGGGUGGAAUGAGGCUGGGGCCUGCUGGACUGCGUUCCCGGGAGGGUAAGGCAUUCUUAGUCACAAGACAGGAGGUUGGCACAAGAUACAAGUCACGAAGACCUUGCCGAUAAAGCAGGUUGCAGUAAAGAAGUGGCCAAAUCCCACCAAAACCAAGAUGGUGACUAGAGUGACCUCUGGUCGUGCUCGCCACUCAUUAUACACAAAUUCUAAUGCAUUAGCUGCUAAGAGACACUCCCACCAGCGCCAUGUCCACAAAUGCCAUGGCAACGUCCGAAAGUUACCCUGCACGGUCUAAAAAGGAGAGGAAGCCUCAGUUCUGGGAAUUGACCACCCUUUCCCAGAAAAUUCAUGAAUAAUCCACUCCUUGUUUAACAUAUAAUCAAGAAAUGACCAAAAUAAGCAUAAGAAUAUUCAGCUGAGCAGCCCAGCCCUCCGCACUGCCUCUGGAGUAGCCAUUCUUUAUUCCUUUACUCUAUUAAUAAACUUCUCACUUGACUCUCUGGACUCACCCUGAACUCCUUCCUGUGUGAGGUCCAAGAACCCUCUCUUGGUGUCUGGAUCAGGACUCCUUUCUGGUAACACAAGCACACAGAGACGUCUCCAGGGGAGUGGGAGGGCCCACUGAGCAGGCCGCAGAGGCAGAGGCUGAGCGCCAUCCCACACACUCAUCACCAGGGGACGGGCCACCCACACCACACCGGCAGCCCCCUCAUACCCCCAUGCUCCAGCCCAGAAGGCUGCCCUGGGCCGGCUCUCUAUGCUGCCUCGAUUUCCCCCUUUCUAGGCCUUGCUUGGGAUGAAGGUCACUGCACACCAGAUGUCUGCACGUACCGGAGCAGAGCGGGGCCGCCUGGAGCCCCUUCCCACCAACCAGAGCUGCGGCCAGGCAGGGUGGAAAUGCAGGCUGUGGGGAGACGAAGGUCAAGUCCCAGAACAUGGACGUGUCCCGGGCUCCUGGCUGGUGGGGGCCUGGUCCCUGGCGGGGAAAAGCAGCAGUGCAGGAGCCAGGGCUGUCUGCAGGGAACCAGCCAGGUAACUGGGUAGAAACUCUGCCCUCAUGCAUCAGACACGCUCCUGGUUCCCUGCAAUCGGACCUGUCACUACAAACAGACCAAGCUUUCCAGAUGCCAGUGGUGGUGGGAAAGCUGACAACACUCCCUACAGCAGGAUGACGGAGGACACAGCCUGCUCUAUAACGUCAAAGUGGCCUCUGGGUCCUUGUCCCAGGGCAGAAACAGACUCCUAAGUGUGAACGGAAAACAGAGGAUUAUUAAAAUUGUCACCUAAUGCAGAAGCCCUGCUACGCCCUUAGGUGGUCAAGGCUGAUUUCUUACCCAUCCACGACCGCAAAGGAAACCGUUCUUUGUUGGGGUCGAAGAGCAUGAACCCUCUUUAGAAU
rnacentral:lncRNA from 1 species